GUCCAGUAACACCCCCCUUCAUUGGGGUCUAUAAAAUCACACCACAUACCUCGCCUCCAAUACCCACUGCUUUCUCCUUUUACCUCUUCUACCUUUUCUCAAUAACAUAGCUUUCUUCAGCCAUGNNNNNNNNNNNNNUGGUGAGACUGACAUGCUUCAAACUAUGCAGCAAGAUGCCCUUCACUUAGCUGCAAAGGCCCUUCAUAUCUUCAGUGUCUCUUGGUCGAAUGAUAUAACUUGCUUCAUAAAAAAGGUGAUCUCCUCAAUUAAAUUGACAUUAGGACCCAUACUGAUUCAAUAUUGUGGUUUCGAUGACUAAGGAAAGCACGUCUGAAGCUCUCUUGUUAUCGCAGGAUUUUGACAGGCUGCAUAGACCUGGAUGGCAAUGCAAAGUGGGGACAGAUUUUGGUUCCUUUGUGACGCACUACCAUGGCUACUUCAUCUACUUCUAUAUUGGCAGUCUUGCAAUUCUGUGAUGCGCUGUAAAUCAAUUAGAUGCUUG
rnacentral:misc_RNA from 1 species